rnacentral:misc_RNA from 1 species
AUGAGAGUAUUCAACCCUUGCUUCGGGUAAUACUUUCGUAGUUCAGACAUGGAGGAUGCCAAACACUUAUCUCUUCAUUGUUCAGCUGCUAUAGAUUGUCUCAAGUAUGAACUUGCUCAUCUUGGUUUGUGGAUAACAACUUGAACAAUUCUUUUCAUUGGACUCACUUGGAAGCACAAAAAAUCCAUAAGAAGCUACAACAAUUCAUUCCAAG